UGUGUAGUGUGUGUGUAGUGUGUGUGUGUAUAGUGUGUGUGUGUGUAGUCAGUAUGUCAACACACACAUGUCACCACACACAUAUGUGUGUGUCACAGAUGUAUGUGUGUCAACAGUGUACAGCACAAGUUGUGUGUAUAUAUCACACACACAUACAACAGUGUUCUGUACACAGUGUCACACACACAC